rnacentral:rRNA from 1 species
CCUGAGAAACCCGAAAGAUCGAAUGAGGAGACUCAUCGUCAGCGGAGAUAGCUUCCAUGUGGUGCUCGAUGUUUGAGACGGUACUUUUGUAUUUGUUGAUUUCACGAGUCCGCUGUGGUAUGUCUGUUUACGUCGGCGUGCACUUCUCCUCUAGUAGAACGUCGCGACCCGCUGGGUGUCGGUUUAAGGACUGAGACUGUCGACUGUUCCGUCACUUCGGCGUCACGGUUACAGACACUUGGUUACCCGACCGGCUGCUCGGCGGUAUACGCAAGGUAUUGAGCCGCAUUUGAAUGCGUUCAGACUCGUUGCAAGCUGGAUCACUUUAUAUCCCGGAGUGUGGACCUGGUGCCGUACCUGGGGGUGAUUAGUUGUUGGUUAACGAUGUUCUCGAACCGGCUUAUUUUGAAUAACGAUACCGGUCAGCGACGCUAUUGAUUUGGGUACUUUCAGGACCCGUCUUGAAACACGGACCAAGGAGUCUAACAUGUGCGCGAGUCAUUGGGAUAAUAAAACCUAAAGGCGCAUUGAAAGAGAAGAUCGGCCUUGCGUCGAUUGAGGGAGGAUGGGCAACGUUUAGAUGUUGCUCCGCACUCCCGGGGCGUCUCGUUGUCAUUACGACUUGAGGUGCACCCAGAGCGUACACGUUGGGACCCGAAAGAUGGUGAACUAUGCCUGGUCAGGAUGAAGUCAGGGGAAACCCUGAUGGAGGUCCGUAGCGAUUCUGACGUGCAAAUCGAUCGUCGGAACUGGGUAUAG